rnacentral:tRNA from 1 species
AAAAUUUAGUUUAAAUAAAACCUUAGAUUGUCAAACUAAAAAUGUUAUAUCAACAAUUUUUAA